AGAAAUGCCCGUCGGCUUCCGGGAGUGCCAAAUAAAGACAAGUCCAGAAAGAGAGAGAGACGGUGACAGAGACGGAGAAAGAAAGCAAAAAGUCAGCCUUGUGGCUGUGCAAAAACUGGUGGCAGUUCUUAAAUGGGGGCUGUGGAAAACUGUAUCAUAAAAAAGACGCCAUAGCUACAGCAGACCUUAGUGUCUGUACAGUAAUGAGAUGUGGGAACAGCAAUAAGCAAAAGCAAGCUGACUGCAAGGAUCAGCCUAGGAUCAAAAGGCUGCUGUGGACAGUGCUAUCAUCGGAAGUUGCAAGAAGUCAGAGCUGCAGCUUCCUGUAGACAAUGAAGGAACAACUUCUUGGUGUAUUUAAAAGAGAGAAAAAGCACACAGAUGAAAUCAACAGAACAGCUGUUCUUAAAUAAGAGUCUUGGCAAACCUUCCAAGUAGGAAAAACAUAGUAUGAAACUGAGCACCUGGUUGCAGAAAUACUCAGGACACAGACAGUGCUUGAGAGAAGCAAGAAGGAAGCUUAGAAGAUCUCCUUCUGGAAAUGAAGCACAAAAAGUUUAACCAACUGUGGAAUAACUAAAUGAAAGAUCCAGAUCCAUAUACCGUACUACAGAGAGAAAAAACAUUCCAGUACCUUUGCAGUGUCAGUGGGAUAAGUGGAAAUUUUGGGAUGCCAGAUGCCCUCCAAUUUCUCCAAUGUCAAUUUAAUUUGAGGAAAAUGUGAUGCCAUUAACUUACGAAACAUUUUACAAGCUCUUAGUGUAAGAGCACAAUCAAGCACUCCACAUCACUCUUGGACAUCACAGGCAUGUGAAAAAGAGGGGAAAACAGUUGGGCAUUUUCUUUAUGUGGAACAGUUUACAGGCUUCCAGGCCGGCAGAUAACUUGUGCAUCUGAAGUAAAUUCCCUGUAACACAUCUUCCCUCUUGACUUCUUCUAGUGCAUUCUUUAAGUGUAGGAGCUACACAAAACAGUCAAGCUCUUUUGCUCUUUUCACCUCCCCAGGAGGACGUUGGCAGACAUCAAAGGCUAAGACUAAGCACUGGAAUGCCGAGGGUGACAGUGGUGUGAAUUUUCUUCUGCUCCUUCAAUCUCUCUCUCAGCUACAGACUUCAAGACUGAGGAUAUCUCAAUUUUACAUCCUGCUGCAAAAUGAGACUGCUGGUAUGGAUCCCUAGGUACAGUACAUUGUUUACAUUAGUAUGUAGUUUUGUUGGCCUAAAUUACUAUUUUACAAGUGAUGGCUGCCUAGAUUAGAUGUGAAGAGCUGAUCAAGUACAGCAGCACAGAGCCACACAGAAUCAUUUACCCUACUUUUCAUCUCCAUGGCAAAUGAAAACAUUUCUUCUGUACUCUGAGAGCUUUCUGAGACCAGCCCCAUUAUAUAUCCCUAUCAACGCAUACUUUUCUCAUUCAGCUGAGGUAGAGGGGUUUCUUCUGGUAAGUGAAAAAGUGGUUUUCCUUUUAUAGGCCUUAGCUGAGAUACUUUGCGUAAUGGCUUGCUUUUUUCCCUUGCUUUCUGAAUUACCAUCAUCUGUGUAUUGAGUCUUUCUAUGAAAACAGAAGAACAAAUAUAAAGCCAGAAAAUGAUUCUGCCUUUUUCACCAGAUGAUCUUCUUGUAGCCACAUUGUCUUCCACUCUACCUUUCAUUUUUUGUUAUUUUUUUCCCAAAAAAAGGAAGGAGGAGAAAACAAAAGUUAAAAAAAAAGAAAAAAAAGUAUUUGUUUGAUGGCUAAAACGGUUUGGAAAGAAUUACAAAUAUUUUGCUCUGGUGGGGUGAAAUCCUGUUCCUCCUCAAAUCAGUGCGUGUUUUGCCAGUGGCUGAUGAGCUUUCACCCUAAAUUUUCACCUUAAUGUUUCACUUGAAUAAAUGUAGACCAAUGAUUCAAGUACUAGAAGAAAACGUUUUGUUUCAAAGCAAUUCAUUUGUUUAAUGCUUAUUUUCCUGCUUUCCUGUAUUUACAUGGGCUCUGUAUCUACUGUACCAUACUUCUAGAAGCUAUCAUUUUCUUUAGAGAAUAUUGUUUGCUCUGCUGAAUAAUUCAUCUUGGGGAUCUCCUUUAAUCCCCCAUCAAAUGUGCCACUCUUGUAACUUCGUAGAGGAAAAAAAAAGGAACACAACAUUGCAAAGCUGAUUUAUGAAUUAGGCCAUGAGAGUUAAAAAUAAAUAAAGUGUUGGUGUAAGUAAGUACAUCAGGUUGGAUUCUGGUUCAGUUAUACCAGUGUCUCUGAAACAAAACUGUUGGUUCUAUGCAGAUUUCCACUAAUGUGGCAAAGAUCUGGCUCUGGCUUAUUACAGAGUAUAAAAAAGGAGCAUGGGAGAAGCGUGGUGACAAUUUGAUAUUUAGAUGUCAGAUAAUUUGUCUGGCAAUGUAUGUAAGUUUUGAAGGAAAACAGAACUGCUUAGAAUACAAUAUAAAUUCAACAGUAAAUAACAUGCAGUCUAAUCCAAAAUUCUAUGUAUCUUACCUGGUUAAAAUAUAAAUGUUUUAGGUGGAAAGGAAAUACUCCAGAAGUAUCUUCAUAGUGAAUUUGUGGUCCACAAACACUUUUAAGUUCUUUCAUGGGAUUUACACAUUUGUUAUAAGCAACUCCAAUUAAUUUUCUGUAUAUAAGAUAGAUUCAGGUACUGCACCUCUUACAAAGUGUUGUUUCAAAGCCGAGUCUUGAGGUACUUGUAAAACAUUAAAAGGAAAUAAUCAAAACAGUUGCAUACUCGAAGAAUGUAUGCCUUGCAAAGUCAAACCAGUAUUAAAGGUGCAUAUUAGUCCCACAGGAUAUAAAAGAUUGUUGCUUGUAUCUGAGCUGAUCAAUUCAGAAAUGUCAGCCUCUUCCAGCCACCAGCUUCAUUCAGCCUGUAAUAAGUAGCCAAAUUGUCAGCUUGUGCAAGGGUUUUGUCUGGCUACUGUGACCUCCUGUGUACGUGCCUUAGUCAUAAGCAAAAUUAUGGGCUAUACUGGGGGACCUCGGGCAUUGCAGGGAAUGAACUGCUGCAAGUUCUUCUGUAUAGCAGUUAACAAAAGGAAAACAAAAUACAUUAGAGAAACAGAGAGAGUGAAAUCUUCUGGAGAAACAAAAGAGAAGAUGAUUCCUACAUUAACGUUCUUGGAACAUCAGGCUGAUGUCCAUCACCUGUUCUGGUGAGCAACCCAUAUAGUCCCUUCUUUCUGAGUCAUCUAUCAACAUCAGUAAUUCAUCACCAGCAUUAAUGUGAUAAUAAUAAAAAAAUAAAUAAUUCUGUAGUGUAGUGUAGUUUUCCUAGGAAUCUUCAGUGUUCUUUCAUAGCAGUUUUUCUGUACAUCUUUUUGGUUUUCAAUGUUAUCAAACAAAUUUGGUGGAGAACCUGAUGCUCCAUACAUGGAGUUUGUUCAAGAUUGAUUUCUUCAUUGGUUGUCCUCGUUUUUAUUGUGGUACAUGUCCUCAGCCCAAAGGUUAUAUGU